AUUGAACGCUGGCGGAAUGCUUUACACAUGCAAGUCGAACGGCAGCAUAGGUGCUUGCACCUGAUGGCGAGUGGCGAACGGGUGAGUAAUACAUCGGAACGUGCCCAGUCGUGGGGGAUAACGUAGCGAAAGUUACGCUAAUACCGCAUACGAUCUAAGGAUGAAAGCGGGGGACCGUAAGGCCUCGCGCGAUUGGAGCGGCCGAUGUCAGAUUAGGUAGUUGGUGAGGUAAAGGCUCACCAAGCCGACGAGCUGUAGCUGGUCUGAGAGGACGACCAGCCACACUGGGACUGAGAGACGGCCCCGACUCCUACGGGAGGCAGCAGUGGGGAAUUUUGGACAAUGGACGCAAGUCUGAUCCAGCCAUUCCGCGUGCAGGACGAAGGCCUUCGGGUUGUAAACUGCUUUUGUACGGAACGAAAAAGCUCUUACUAAUACUAGGAGUCCAUGACGGUACCGUAAGAAUAAGCACCGGCUAACUACGUGCCAGCAGCCGCGGUAA
rnacentral:rRNA from 1 species